AUUGAACGCUGGCGGCAUGCUUUACACAUGCAAGUCGAACGGCAGCGCGGGCUUCGGCCUGGCGGCGAGUGGCGAACGGGUGAGUAAUAUAUCGGAACGUACCCAAGAGUGGGGGAUAACGUAGCGAAAGUUACGCUAAUACCGCGUACGAUCUAAGGAUGAAAGCAGGGGAUCGCAAGACCUUGUGCUCCUGGAGCGGCCGAUAUCUGAUUAGCUAGUCGGUGAGGUAAAGGCUCACCAAGGCAACGAUCAGUAGCUGGUCUGAGAGGACGACCAGCCACACUGGAACUGAGACACGGUCCAGACUCCUACGGGAGGAAGCAGUGGGGAAUUUUGGACAAUGGGGGCAACCCUGAUCCAGCAAUGCCGCGUGAGUGAAGAAGGCCUUCGGGUUGUAAAGCUCUUUUGUCAGGGAAGAAAAGGUCGUGGCUAAUAUCCACGGCUCAUGACGGUACCUGAAGAAUAAGCACCGGCUAACUACGUGCCAGCAGCCGCAGUAA
rnacentral:rRNA from 1 species